GCAACGAUCAUACUAAUUUGAAGGUGGUGGGGCAGAUUGGUUCUGUGGUGCAGUUUAAGAUUAAGAGGGAUACACCAUUUAGUAAACUAAUGAAAGCUUAUUGUGAAUGAGAGGGUCUGUCAGUGAGGCAGAUCAGAUUCCCAUUUGACAGGUGGCCAAUCCAUGAAACAGGCACACCUGCACACCUGGAAGUGGAAGAUGAAAGUACCAUUGCCAUGUUCCAGUAGCAGACAGGUGUCUACUACAAAGGAACCUGCUACUUUAGUCCAGA
rnacentral:lncRNA from 1 species